GUAUAUAUAUGUAUAUCCAUGUAUGUGUGUAUACAUACACAUACAUGGAUAUACAGAUAUAUACA
rnacentral:pre_miRNA from 17 species